CGGCAGCUGCCCAGGGCAGGAGAAGUGGUGGUGGCGGAGGCAGUAGUGGGGCCAGCGGUGGUCUCAGCUGCGCGACAGGCAGUAGCCUCAGUGGCUUGUUGGCUAAGUGGAAGACGGAUGAGAAGCAUGGAAAAACUGACAAGUGGGAUGGAUCCGCUAUGAAAAACUCUGGAUGAUUCUGCCAGAAAGGUACUUCUGGAAAAAUACCCGUAGGGGGAGAAUUUUGGUCUCAUUGACAUUUGCCUCACUAUCUGAUUGCACUCCUGUUUCCUUACCAUAGUAGCUUUGAUUUGGGAUUCUGUGCACCCCUUUGCCGAGUCCAAGCCCGUUUUGGCCAUGUACAUCCUAUCCUAUUUUGUGAUGAUGGGGAUUCUGACCAUUUAAGAAGAGCGUCUUUCUUGUGGCCCACAGGAAGGAUCCUGCAGGAGUGGAUCCUGAUAUUUGGCAGCUGGCCUUCAUCAAUGGGAGAAGAAGGCAGCUGCGGGAAGCCAAGUUCACCAAGUUCAUUGCUAAGUUUUUUGACCACGGUGGGACACUGGUCAGGGAUGCAUAAGAGCCUAAAAUAUCCAGGCUCCAUGACAGUCUCACCACAGAAAGAAAAUAAAAUA
rnacentral:lncRNA from 1 species